UUGCAUACCCGGAAGUAAAAAUCCCAUUCAUUUUCUCCAUAGCCAUAGCGGAUUAUUAUCAUGGACCUAUUCUAAGAGAUUAUUAGCCCUAAUUUCAUCACCAUCUAAGGGAGACUUAUAUGACUUGAUACAAGGUACUGUACAUGACACAAGUUUGCAUGGUAUCAACCUCGUUUUAAGAAAAACAUAGUUUAUUGGCGAUCUCUGGAAGAAGAACUACACUACCCAUGAUCCUUGAGCGUCACACCGACGUCUCUGAUUGGUGGAGCACGGCGUCGUGACGUCGUCACUGAAACGUUUCCCGCUCGCGCGAAAAGUGAGCAAGAGAACAAUGAGGUAAGAACCUUAGAAGAAACGCCAUGGACAUGGACUGUGCAAGACAGGUGUGGAGGGAGGUCUGAAGCCAAAAACACAGACAGGCUGUGCUAGCUCACAGAACCAGUGACUCUUCAUUGUCACUCAGGCUCUCCACUGCAGGUUCAGCUGAAGGAGCUGCCUUGAAUGAAUAAGCAGGAUGGAGUUCAGGGUUUGCAAGGACAUCCUGUUCCUGAGUUUGGUCUUCACCACACUCAUCUGGCUGAACACUCUCUCAACUUCAGCAUUUGAGUGUGGCAAAGACCACACAGCCACAGCAGCCAUGGCGAGUUCCUGGAAUGGAUUGAGACCAGCUGCGUCCCUGAACCUCCAAAUCUCACUCCAGAAGCUCAGCGUGUUCUUUUUCUCAGUCCAGACACUGAGGUGGAUGGUACGCCAUUGCUGGACAAUCUUGUCUAUUGCUUCAGGCAGUCUCAUCCUCAGCUCAUUGGUGAGGGAGAUAGUGAAGGCGACACACCGUUUUCUGACAUUCUGCUCAUCGUCAGGCGCAAGGUGGAGCUCAGCUGCAUUUGAAUCAAAAAGGAAACCGAGGUAUGGAACAGGACUUAGGUAUCCAUCGAGAGGCCCUUUCAAGACAUCCACCUUUGCCAGUGGAUUCAGGACCCUGCUGCUCACAGACUUAAUGAGGCUCACCAAGCUGUCAAGUAGCUUGAGAGGAUCGACCUGCUCUCCCUCAAACGCUUUCAUGGCCAACUGUACCUCUCCCAGCACUGACUUCAGAAAGGUCAAGUAUAGCACAUUUUGAGGAUCACUGUACAUGGAGUAUAACACCUCAGCCAUGUAGCAGUGCUCACUUGACUUGGUGACCUCAAAAUGCAGCUUGAGCUCCUCCCAUUGGUCCAAAAUGCGUGAGACUGCGGGCUCAAUAGAGAGCCAACGUGUGGCACACACCUUUGUGAUCUGUAAUGGUUUCUCCCCACAGUUAAUGGUCUCAUAAAUGGCCUUGUAUGCCUCCCUGCGUUUGGGAGACACUGAAAACCAUUUAUAUGUCUCCCUUACAAGGUACUCCACACUGCGUGGGAUCGUCUCAUUCGAUGCAUGGGUGACAGCAAGCUGCAGGGAGUGACACAUAACGGAUGAGGACCAGAUCUUUAAGGCCAUACUCAUGUUUGAGCACUGCAUGGACCCCAUUAUUUAUCCCUGUCAUUACAGAGGCAUUGUCAGUCCCUAUCCCAAGGAGCUUCUCUUUAACAAGAGAGCACUUAUCUAAAAAAGCCACCACAGCACGGGCAAUAGAAUGUGCAUCUCCUCCCUCCAGCUCAACAAGCCCCAGAAAUGUAGAUACCACUGUCCCUUUAGUUUCACUAAAGUAUCUGAUGACAACACCCAGGUACUUAGACACACUGAUGUCUGUGGCCUCAUCGAGGAGGAGGCUAAAAUGCUGCUCACCCACAUCUGCCAUCAACUUUUUCAAGAAGUAAGGUGCUAGGACACCAUUGAUCAUUUCAGUGCACUUAGUCCUGUGCAUUCUGAAAUGCGUAGCAGCAGCGGAGUCAGAAAAGGCUGACCUACAUGCUUCCCCAAUGUGGUCACAUGCUAGGAGGGAACAGUGUUCAGCAAUGGCUAAUGCUAUGGUAGCCUCAGCCUUUUUGGAGCUAUCAAUUUUGCCUACCAUAAAUGGCAGCGUUGUUUGUGCUGCUAAGUUAUAAGGCUUUGCCUUUUGAAUGUGUUUUAGGGUUGUACUGUGUUUCUUCACAUCACUGAUUUUAGCAUAGAAAUCCACUUUGCAGUAAUGGCAGUAUGCUCGUCCAAUAUCUCCAAUAAAUGGCUUUAACCAUCCCUUAAAA